rnacentral:siRNA from 1 species
UCCUUUGUCGCCUUAUUCGAGAGG